GACGAACGCUGGCGGCGUGCUUAACACAUGCAAGUCGAACGGAAAGGCCCUGCUUUUGUGGGGUGCUCGAGUGGCGAACGGGUGAGUAACACGUGAGUAACCUGCCCUUGACUUUGGGAUAACUUCAGGAAACUGGGGCUAAUACCGGAUAGGAGCUCCUGCUGCAUGGUGGGGGUUGGAAAGUUUCGGUGGUUGGGGAUGGACGCGCGGCUUAUCAGCUUGUUGGUGGGGUAGUGGCUUACCAAGGCUUUGACGGGUAGCCGGCCUGAGAGGGUGACCGGCCACAUUGGGACUGAGAUACGGGCCAGACUCCUACGGGAGGCAGCAAUGGGGAAUAUUGCACAAUGGGCGGAAGCCUGAUGCAGCAACGCCGCGUGCGGGAUGACGGCCUUCGGGUUGUAAACCGCUUUCGCCUGUGACGAAGCGUGAGUGACGGUAAUGGGUAAAGAAGCACCGGCUAACUACGUG
rnacentral:rRNA from 1 species